GACGAGCGCUGGCGGCGUGCUUAACACAUGCAAGUCGAACGGAAAGGCCCUGCUUUUGUGGGGUGCUCGAGUGGCGAACGGGUGAGUAACACGUGAGUAACCUGCCCUUGACUUUGGGAUAACUUCAGGAAACUGGGGCUAAUACCGGAUAGGAGCUCCUGCUGCAUGGUGGGGGUUGGAAAGUUUCGGCGGUUGGGGAUGGGCUCGCGGCUUAUCAGCUUGUUGGUGGGGUAGUGGCUUACCAAGGCUUUGACGGGUAGCCGGCCUGAGAGGGUGACCGGCCACAUUGGGACUGAGAUACGGCCCAGACUCCUACGGGAGGCAGCAGUGGGGAAUAUUGCACAAUGGGCGGAAGCCUGAUGCAGCUACGCCGCGUGCGGGAUGACGGCCUUCGGGUUGUAAACCGCUUUCGCCUGUGACGAAGCGUGAGUGACGGUAAUGGGUAAAGAAGCACCGGCUAACUACGUG
rnacentral:rRNA from 1 species